GUUCUCACUUCAGCAUUACAUAUACUAAAAUUGAAACGGUAGAGAGAAGAUCAGCAUGGCGCCCAUGCAAGAUUACCCUAAAAUCUGCCAAGAUCAGCAAAAUUAU
rnacentral:snRNA from 1 species